rnacentral:lncRNA from 1 species
GGAUUUUCAAUAUGAAAGAAAUUCUACUAAACAUCCAAAAAUCAAAUAUGAGCAAACAAAAUUACUCUAAAUCCAAAUAAAAAUCAAACACUUGAAAGAAAAAUUCAUUACCAUAUUUACCAUUAAUAAUCUUAAUGCAUUAUUUUUAGUUGAUGGUUUUGGUAGUGUUACAAACCUACCCCCUUAAAAGAAUCUCGUACUCAAGAUUAAGGAACUUUUGAGAAUAACUGGGGUAAUUCUGCUCUGAGUUCAUCUUCUCUUUCCCAAGUGGUCUCAUCUUCCGAAUGAUGACUCUACUGAACUUUACACAUGUUGAUAACUUUACUCCGUGUAAUUCUGUGAGAUGUUUCCAAAAUUCUGAUAGGGUACUCCGAAUAAGUCAAAUCCUCCUUAACAUUGAGUUCUUCCAUAGGUAAUUGUUCUUCAGGUACUCUUAAGCAUUUCUUAAGCUGUGACACAUGAAAUACAUCAUGCACAUCCGACAAACUAUUGGGUAGCUCUAAAUGGUACGCUACUUCACCUUUUAUUCUCAAUAUUUUCAAUGGGCCAAUGUAACGAGGAGAUAAUUUACCAUUAACCUUAAACCUUUUCAUGCCUCUCAUCGGUGAAACUUUAAGGUAUACGAAGUCUCCUACUUCAAAGAUCAACCCUUUUCUUCUAUUGUCAGCAUAGCUUUUCUAUCUCGACUGUGCUGUUUUCAAAUUCUCUCUGAUAAUUUGUACUUGCUUUUUUGCCUCUUGGAGAAUUUCUGGACCAAAUACUUGACUUUCUCUAGUCUGAUUCCAAUAAAGCGGUGUUCUACACUUUCGUCCAUAAAGUGCUUCAAACGGUGCCAUUUAUAGACUUGCCUGGUAACUAUUGUUGUUCGAGAAUUCUGCAUAAGGCAAACUUUUAUCCCAGCUUCUCCAUGCUUUAGAGCGCAAGCUCUUAACAUAUCUUCUGUUGGGGGCCUUCGUCUUCCGAAGGUCCUCAAAAACACGACUAACAUGUCUUCAAGUAUAAUAUACUGUCAUAGGAAGCUUUGGCUUUGAGAUGAAGGCAUACAUGGUUUGAAAGGCGCAACCUGGAAGAAGGAUGAACCAGUUCCGAAGCUGUGGAUGAAGGAGCUUCGGCUUACCGCAAAGACGACGAUGGAGAAUGAAACCGACUUAAAAGGGAAAAGGCAGCUUAGCCCUCGACAAUUUACUUUUUAGCUAAUAGUAAAUGUCAGGGACAUAAAUGUAAUUUUACCCAGGCUGCGUCAUGUGCCUAUAAAUAGAUGAACAGUAACACCGUACUGUUCACGCUGACUUGUAAUCACUCGCACGUCACUCUUGGAUUCUUACCUUCUGUCAAGCUGAAGGUACAAAUGUAAUUCAUUAUUAUUAAUGUUUGUUUAUGAUCAUACAAUGAGAAUAUAGAUGAUCUAAAGAUUUGAUAUGAAUAUUCAUGUUCCUUAUAUGUCCCAUAUAUUUUUGCUCUCUAUUAUUAUAUAUUGAGAUGAUGAAGGUUUGUCCUUCAUGACCUUCGUCUGAAGAUCAUUAUAUCCUAAGGGAGAUAAUGCUUCGACGGACGAAGUUCUUUAACCAUUAACAUUUGUGUUGCCUUGUUCUUAACUCAUAGCAUUUGAGGACAAGUGACCAACAUUGGCGCCCACCUCCGGUGAACUCAUUUGACCACCUUCGACAAGCUGUGACCUUCGUCAUGCCGCCGAAGAAGUCUUCACGGCUAGGGGCUGCACUGCAGCCACUGGACGUCAAUCAGGAAACAUUACAUGAAGCUAGGAGCCAAAAAAGGAAGGCUACCAGUCCGACACCUCAGGAGCAGGAGUUGGACCAAGAGAUCAGAGACCUCGAAGCUAUUCAUCAAUAGGUCCAGAGGAAGAAGGAAAAGAUGCUUCGUCUCGCCGAUCUUCAGAAGAAGAUUGAUGAGGCCGCUGAGGAAAUGUGUCAUAUCACCCAAGAUGACCAAGACCGAAGGCCUCAAUACAGAGACCUUCGUCAUGACAAUUCGUUCAAUGAUGAUGAAUGGUAUGAUGAUUUCCAUCAUGGCAAUUUUGCUUUUGAUGAUGCAUCUCCUCUAGCAGCAGAAUUGCAGGCUACCCCAUGGCCCCCGUCUUACAAGCCACCCUAGCUCCCUAUGUAUAAUGGGCACUCAGACCCGAAGCAGUUUCUAAUGAGUUAUGAGGCAACCAUAUCUUCUUAUGGGGGCAACACUGCAGUCAUGGCGAAAUCCUUCGUCAUGGCAGUCAAAAGUGUUGCACAAACUUGACACUCUUCUUUCCGGCCAGGGACAAUCACAUAAUGGCAGAAGCUUAAAGAUAUGCUAAUCACUGGCUUCCAAGGAUUUCAAAUGAAGCCAGUCAUUGCUAAGGCUUUGUUCCAGGGCACACAAGACCAUGAGGAGUACCUUCAGGCGUAUGUCCGAAGGUUCCUGCGUCUGAGAGCACAAGCGCCUACAGUGCCUAAUGAGAUUAUCAUUGAGGCCAUGAUCAAAGGGCUUCGGCCAGGACCUAAGGCUCUGUAUUUUGCCAGGAAACCCCCACAAACCCUAGAGAAGCUUCUUAAGAAGAUGGAUGAAUACAUUCGGGCUGAUAAUGAUUUCCGCUAGAGAAGGGAAGAAGCCUACAGGUUUUCAGAGAUGACUAGGGGCUUCGGAGGAAGAAUCCACCCCAGGCAUGUCAGAUCAAUCCAUAAUUCCAGCCUAAGUGAUGACAGAGGAAGCUAGCCUCAAAGGCCACAACACAUCUCCCAAUCUUUAGGGCAACAUCAAAGCUCUUUCAGGCCACCAGCCCUAAGGGGCAGAGGCGGCAGGGGCUUCGGAGGAAGGUAUGGGGAUCAACCUAGAAGGCUAUAUUGCUUAUUCUGUGGAGAAGAUAAGGGCCACAACACAAGAACAUGUCAAGUCACAAUACAGAAGCAAAAGGAGAUUGCCGAAGCUGAAGAGCGGAAGAAUCAGUCGAAGCAGGUUUUACAUACUGCUUCAUGCUACUCUCCCUAUGUACCAGAGUACGUAGGCAACCAACAACCUUUGGCUUCUGUCGCUUAGGCAAGUCACUCUCAAGCUUCCUAGGCCCAACUCCCAUUACCACCACCAUUACCACCCACUCAGACCCGAAGCCAGCAGCCAGAAGGGCACCAACACGCACAGCAGCAUCGUGAUUUUCGGGAGGAAUCCGAAGCUCACACAGUCAACAACACUGUGCCAGAAUCCAAGCAUAUCUAUCAAAGAGUAUCCUGUUCUUGACGUAUCUUUACCUUUUAUGCCAUUUUAAUUUCUGUAACAAUUGUGACUGUAUCAAUGAGUAAAAUAUGUCUUAAACAAAUUUAUGAAGCUACAGAAGUCAUUCCUAAGGGAGCACGGAGUAAGUUCCGAAGCUACAAAAGUCGUUCCUAAGGGAGCGCAGAGUAAGUUCCGAAGCUACAAAAGUCGUUCCUAAGGGAGCACAGAGUAAGUUUUCUAAGCUCAGAAGUCGUUCCUAAGGGGAUGAAGAGCUAAUAAUUCCACCAAAAUAGAAGGUGAAGAAGCUCCAAAGUCGUUCCUAAGGGGAUGCAGAGCAUAAAUACCACCGAAAUAUAAGGUGAAGAAGCUCCAAAGUCGUUCCUAAGGGGAUGCAGAGCUUAAAGACUCCAAAGACGUCCAUAAGGGGAUGCAGAGUCUUGUGUGUUCCAGUGUGGGCGCGUGCGUGUGUGUGAUCGACAUCACCAUCAUUUUGCAUCAUAUCAUUCCGCAUAACAUUACAUCAUACAUCAUAUCGCAUCAACAACAAAAAGAUUGGAUACGAAGCAAAUCUUCGGCAAUACUUUGUUAAAUGAAAAUGUGCUGAGGCACGAAGCAAACUUCGGCAAACACAAUUUUAUCAGAUUAGCCAUAGAAGGGGCUUCUUUCUUUACGAAGCAUGAAAAGAAGGAAAGGUGUUUUUCGCCGAAGGCUCAAAAAUGGUAUGUGCGUAAAUUUCAUGCAUCGUAAAGAAAUAUAUUACAACAAUUUACAUGUCUGAUUAAUUGUUCAAAUACACUAAAUGUUACGUAGUAUCAUUACAAUAAAGUUUAAUCUUCCUUAAGUAUUUUCUCUGUGGCUUCGUUCAGCAGCUUGUCACGACUUCGUCGAUGAUGGAGUUAGCAACACUCACUAUAUCCAGUGUUUCUUUCAUGACCGGAUCAGCUAGAGGGUUGUAUGGCUCGGGCAUCGGUGACAGUUCAGCUGUAAUAGACAAAAUGUUAGUUCGAAGCUAUAAAAUAAACGCCGAAGCUAAAAUUCAAAAACAAUACCUAUGCGCCUUUCGUGUUCAGCAGCUUCUUCGGCUCGCCUAGCUUCUUCUCGGGCUUCAUGGGUUUCUUUUUCAUUCUUCUUUAUGAUUUCAUUGGCUAAUUCCCGGCCACCAUUCACCUAGACAUCGGAAUAAAAUUUUCUGCCCACCAAAGUAGCUUCGCCCGAAGGGUCUUUCGUGUCGUCUGUGGAGAAGGUGGCUUCAGCCUGGGCCACAACUUUAACGUGGUCGCAACCAGCCUUCUCCAGAAUUGCCGCAAUACCUCGAGUGCUAGUAAAAGGACAGAUAUCCCCACGAUCGCUCAGGAUCUCUUCAAAAGCUUCGGCUUCUCCGCUUAUCCAAUCAAUAAUGCCCUCGGGGUCGCCUCGAAUGAAGUUCUCCUUGGAAGAAUAAGCACCAACUUUGGCAAAACUAGUUUUCAAUUUUUUCACGCAAUCCAAGGAUUUCUCGAAGCACCUUUCCUUGGAUUCACGAAGCUCCUCGACAUUUUUCUCUAGCCUAGUUUUCAACCAUUCACUAAUUUCUUGACUAGCUUUGGCAACUGCAAAGUUCUCAUUGGCUUCGGCAAGUUUUUUUGAAGGUCUUCAAUUUUGGCUUCAUAAGCUUCGGAUUGAGUGUUAAAUUUCGCUUCGUCUUCCUUCACUUUAUCCACCAACAAUGAAAGUAGAAUUUUGUCCUUCUCCAAGGCUUCGUUUCUCAACGUAAUGACUUCUGAUCAAAGGUUGUUGAGAGCUAUCGUGCAGCUUUCAUCUUCGGCAUUCUUUUGCGCCCUCAGGGCGUUGCUAAGGAUUAAGCCCUGCAAGAAAGAAAAAAGGAUUAGCAUGAGAAUAAAAGACUUUAUUUCCAAGUCCAUAGACUUUAAGUUCACAAUUUUUGUACCUUCAGACUGUUGUAUGCAAGGCUGUCCACAAGGUUAUCCUUCGACAUGGCGGAGAAGCCAACCUCGAGCUUCGGAAAUCCCAUACUUUUGGCCAUCUCCUGGCAGACAGAUAUUUCUUUGUUGUCCGGGAGACAGUAUAAGAAAUCAUCUUCGUCUAUACCAUUGAACACUAAGGCCCCCUUCGGAUAUUUCAGUUCCCGGGCAUAGUGUUUGGCUUCUGCAAUCCCCUCUUCAGAUAGUCUUUUUCUCGAAGCAUGUCGAAUAAUAAAAUCAAGAUUUUCAGACAGUACAUCGAGAGAAGGAGAUUUAGCUUCUUCGGCCACUUCCUUCUCCAUAGCUAUGCCAAUAUCUGGAUAUUCUUGCUCAGCCCUUUCCUAAGUUAUGGCAGGCUUUGUCUCAGCAGGCACUGAAGGCCCAGCUUCGUUUCAGUAUGAGCCACAACAGCUUUGGCAAACUUUUUUACAGAAGUAGGAGUCAAUGCUCUUGUUGUCUCCAUGAUGGCGUCUCACACGCUGGCCAUUCUUCUCCUCUUGGGAGUUGUGGCGGGAGCUUUUGCAACCUUCGCCAAUUCUGCUUCUACCGGCGGGCUUAGAAUUUCUGGCAGCACUAUUAUUUUUUCUAACUCUGGCUUUUUGGCCGCCCCAUCUUCGGCUUCGACUAGCUCAACUAUAGACACCUUCCACACUAUAGUCAAUUCCUUAGCGCUCUGAGCGGCGGGAGCAGCUUGUUUCGCUUCGGCAGCGGAAGAUGUCUCUUCACCAAAUUUUGGCACUAUGGUCGUUUCAAUAUAUCUUGGCCGGUGGGUCAAAACCUUGAUUUUCUUGUCCUUCAGCACAACAGAGAUGGCCAAAGUGACAGUUUUCCUCUUUUCCCUGCUUUCACGAGGGAUAGCAAUAAUUAGGAUAUAUAAAACCAAUUGCAUCGAAAACCCUGUUCAACCUUUUCAUGCCUCAACCCCCGAAUGCUGAGGACAAAGCAUCAUCUUUGGCUCUGGUAUAUGCCCCAAGUAACUCGUCGCUAGUAGCCUCAAUGCAUUUCAGCCAGUCGUCAUUUCGUUCGUCAAACCGGUCUCUGUAUCUGAAGGUAUAUUUCAAAUGAAUUAAUCCACCUUGACUGGACCUGCCAGCAGUAUCCUUCGGCAUCUCCCAGUUAUCCUCAAGUGGCCAUACCCUGUAGGCUAUGUGCUCUUGGAUCAGGUCUCUUGUACCAAUGAAAGAACAGACAUUGCUGAAAGCCUUUUGACAUGCUUUGGCAUCAUUUUCAAUCACCACGGUCAGCCUUCGAAGGCCAAAGCGAGACUAGAUGGGGCAUUGGAUAAUCCCCUUUAUGUCCUCCCUUUCAAUCAAAUUAUUCUUAACAUAAAACCAUUCCUCCAUCCAGGACCCAGGCCACCUUUUCUGAAAUGGUGGAACUGGGUAACUUGCAUUAGAACGAGCACUAAAUCCAUAACAACCAAAGUUGUUGUGAUACUGCACUUUUCGAGUGGCCUUCGUCUCGUACAAUAGUUCGUGCAUAUUGCAAAAACACUUCACGCUCGGUUCCAGCCCUUGGCUUCUCACAGCCCAAACAAACAAACCCAUUCUAAUUAUAGCUUCAGGAGUAAUUUGAUGAAGAAAGAUCUGAAAUAUCUUCAACACUUCAACCACAAAUUUGCUCAAUGGGAACCGAAGACCCGCCUUCAUAAAGCUUUUGUACACAACAACCUCAUUUUCUUCAGGAGCAGGGGCAGUGUUGUCCCCUCCAACCCUAACAAUAGACAGGUCACGAAAGUAUCUUCCCUUCAUGGCGUCAAUUUGACUUUGUUUAAUGGUCGACUUUCUGAAGAUGGUAUGGCUUGGCCGCCAGGGCCGGUCUUCAGAAUCUUCAUCCCCACUUUCCACAUCAUAGUCAUCGCUAUCAUCAGAAUCUUUAGACAAAUCCGCCAUUAUUUCUUUUGUAAUCUUCUCUGUAUUUGUUUUUGCCAUAGAUUCAUAAAACCCAGCAAGAAAAGGGUCCACAACCUUCUUCUCUUCAGACAUAUUCUUGUCUUCAGACAUGCAACAAGCACUUGUGUAUAUCAUGAAGCUCGAAAACCAAGCGAGAGCUGAUAGAAAGAGAAUUAAAAUUUGAGAAAAUAACGCAAACAACCGAAAUGGCGUGACAAAUGCUGUCGCUGUGGGUUUCUAUUUAUAUGCCUAGUGCAUUGCAACUUGGCGGGCCCCAUUUGUCAUUAACUUUCGCUAUUCUAGCGAAGGGAAGGUGUUUUUUCGGACCUUCGGCCAAAGGCCUUCGUUCACGUCGUAGUCUGAAUUUGUUAGAUACAACAAAUUAAUACUGCGAGGGGCUACUGUUGGGGCCCUUCGUCUUGGGAAGGUCCUCAAAAACACGACUAACAUGUCUUCAAGUAUAAUAUACUGUCACAGGAAGCUUCGGCUUUGAGAUGAAGGCAUACAUGGUUUGAAAGGCGCAACCUGGAAGAAGGAUGAACCAGUUCCAAAGCUAUGGACGAAGGAGCUUUGGCUUAGCGCAAAGACGACGAUGGAGAAUGAAACCGACUUAAAAGGGAAAAGACAGCUUAGCCCUUGACAACUUACUUUUUAGCUAAUGGUAAAUGUCAGGGACAUAAAUGUAAUUUUUCCUAGGCUGCGUCUUGCGCCUAUAAAUAGAUGAACAGUAACACCGUACUGUUCACGCUGACUUGUAAUCACUCGCACGUCGCUCUUGGAUUAUUACCUUCUGUCAAGCCGAAGGUACAAAUGUAAUUCGAUAUUAUCAAUGUUUGUUUAUGAUCAUAUAAUGAGAAUAUAGAUGAUCUAAAGAUUUGAUAUGAUUAUUCAUGUUCCUUAUAUGUCCCAUAUAUUUUUGCUCUCUAAUAUUAUAUAUGGAGAUGAUGAAGGUUUGUCCUUCAUGACCUUCGCCUGAAGAUCAUUAUAUCCUAAGGGAGAUAAUGCUUCAAAGGACGAAGGUCUUUAACCAUUAACAUUUGUGUUGCCUUGUUCUUAACUCAUAGCAUUUGAGGACAAGUGACCAACAUCUUCCAACACUUGGUUUGCUCUUUCAGUUUGCCCAUCUGUUUGAGGAUGAUAAGGUGAACUAAAGUUUAGCUUGGUAUCCAUGGACUCAUGUAGUCUUUUCCAAAAGCGCGAGGUAAAUUGGGUUCCUCGAUCUGAUACGAUCUUCUUUGGUACUCCAUGCAGACAAACAAUCCUUUACAUGUAUAACUCUGCUAACUGGGCUCCUAAGUAAGUUGUCUUCACAGGUAUAAUGUGUGCCACUUUAGUCAACCUGUCCACUAUAACCCAUAUUGAAUCAUAGCCAUCCCGAGUAUGGGGUAGUACAACUAUGAAAUCCAUAUUGAUUUCUUCCCAUUUCCAUUCCGGUACCUUGAGAGGUUGUAGCAAUCCUGCUGGUCUUUGGUGCUCGGCUUUAACUCGUUGACACACGUCACAUAGUGCAACAUGAGUAGCCACAUCUCUUUUCAAACCAUACCACCAAUACUUUUCCUUUAGGUCCUGGUACAUCUUAGUACUUCUAGGGUGAGUAGAAUAAGCUGAAUCAUGAGCUUUUCUUAAGAUAUGUUGGCGUAGGUGCUCAAUCUCUGCUACACAGAUUCUCUUUUUAAACCAUAUUGUGCCUUGUUCAUCUUCUGUGAAAUCUGGGGCUUUUCCCAAACUAAUUUGUGUCAUAAUUUCUUUGAUUUUCUCAUCAGACUCUUGUCCUUUAUGAAUUUCUUCUUCCAAAGUAGAUUCAACUUCCAUAACUAUUGCUUCCAUAUUAUUGAGCAUUCCAAGGUUGAGUUGUUCCAUUUCCCAACAUAAUUCAUGUGACAUCAAAUGAGUAGUGAUGUUGUUCACUUGACCUUUACGGCUCAAAGCAUCUGCCACUACAUUUGCUUUUCCUGGGUGAUAUUGUAUUUCCAAAUCAUAGUCUUUGAUUAACUCAAGCCAUCUUCUUUGUCUUAGGUUGAGUUCUUUCUGCGUGAAGAUGUAUUUCAAGCUUUUAUGAUCCGUGAAGAUUUUACACUUGUUUCCAAUCAUGUAGUGCCUUCAAAUCUUCAAAGCGUGCACUACGGUAGCUAAUUCCAAAUCAUGUGUAGGAUAAUUCUUUUCAUGCUUCCGUAACUUCCUUGAAGCAUAGGCAAUCACUUUUCCUUCUUGCAUUAACACACAUCCAAGUCCUAAAUGUGAUGCAUCGCAAUACACAUCAAAUCCUUUAUGAAUAUCAGGCAUAAAUAACACUGGUGCAGUGGUUAGCCUUUCUUUUAGUUCCUCGAAACAUUUCUGAUAUGCUUCAUCCCACUUAAACUCUUUACCUUUCUCCAACAGUGAAGUAAGGGGUUUCACUAUUUUGGAGAAGCCUUCGAUAAAUCUUUUGUAGUAUCUUGCUAAUCCAAGAAAACUCCUGAUCUUGGACACAUCUGUGGGUUGUUUCCAAUUUAGUAUUUCACUUAUUUUACUGGAGUCUACCUUGAUUCAUCCAUUGGUGAUAAUAUGACCUAGGAAAGCAACUUCCUUCAGCCAGAAAUCACACUUUGGAAAUUUCGCAUACGACUGAUUGUCACAAAGUUUCUGUAGAACUAAUCUCAGAUGAUCUUCAUGUGCUUCUUUAUUCUGAGAGUAUACUAGUGUGUCGUCGAUGAAUACCACCACAAACUGGUCGAGGUAUUCCAUGAAUACUUUAUUCAUCAAGUUCAUAAAGUAAGUUGGUGCAUUAGUCAGUCCAAAAGACAUGACUUAAAACUCAUAUAAUCCAUAUCUUGUAGUGAAAGCUGUUUUAGGUAUAUCUUUGGUUCGAAUCUUCAACUGAUGAUAGCCUUAUCUUAGAUCUAUCUUUGAGAAUAUUGUAGCUCCUCUCAUCUGAUCAAACAGAUCUUGAAUCCGAGGUAAUGGGUACAUGUUCUUAAUCGUUACUUCGUUCAAGCUUCUAUAGUCGACGCACAUUCUCCUUGAACCAUCUUUCUUGUUCACAAAUAGAACUGGGGCUCCCCAUGGUGAUGAACUGGAGUGAAUAAAACCUUUUUCUAGUAAUUCUUCUAUUUGUUUCUUCAGUUCGAUUAAAUCUUUGACAUCCAUUUGGUAAGCUCUUUUUGAAAUUGGUGCGGUUCCGGGUAAUAGUUCAAUAGAAAACUCUAUAUCACGAUCAGGUGCCAUACCUGGUAAUUCUUCCGGAAAUACGCCUGGGUAUUCAUACACUAUUCUGAUGUGCUCCAAAGAUUUCUCUUCCAACUGAUUUACCAUUGCUUCUACUGUUGCUGGCAUACUGACAUUGACCUCAAUUCUUUCUCCUUGCGGACUGGUUAAUGUAACCAUCCUUUUGGCACAGGAUAUUACUCCAUCAUACUUGGUCAAGUAGUCUAUUCCAAGUAUCACAUCGAUUCCACUUGAUUCCAAAAUUAUCAGCUCUACUAGAAAGCUUAGGCCUCUAAUUUUGAUCUUAGUCUGAGGGCAUGAGUGAGUGGCUCUAAGUUCACCUCCUCGUGAUCGAAUUAAUAGUUUCUUCUUCAAGGGAUAGUUUGGUAUAUUAUGUUUUUCCACGAAUGACUUUGUUACUUAGGAGUGAGAUGCUCCAGAAUCAAAUAAAACUGAUGAUGGAGUUAAUAAGAAACAUACCAUACACCACGUCGGCAUACUCAAGAACUGAUUCUGUUGUCACAUGAUUGACUCUUCCCCUACUCUGGUUCUGUGGAGUUUUGUUCUGUGCAGAUCCACGAGCAGGUGUGUUCUAGUCAGUCCUCUAGUUGUUGUUCUUCUGGGGUGUCUGUUGAUAACGCCUUGGGCAGUUGUUGGCAUGGUGGCCAAGUUCACCACACUUGAAACAACCAUUAGGUUGGACUGGGGUAGUUGUGUUGUUGUUCUUGGUCGGUGUGUUCACGACGCUUCCUUGACAAUUCUGUGGUUGCCCACUAAACCUUUGACUGGUCUGAGUGCUGCUUCUCUGCUGGUUCUUCUAACACCCAGGUGUUACUUAGGGUUUCUUCUCAGUACUAAUCUCAAGAUCAUUAUCACAUGUAAAUCAAAUUUAGUAAAAGAUACCAAACUUGAGGAGCAAAAACUCAAUUAAGCCUUUUUAUCUCAAGGAUCAUGCCUUAACCAUAUCAUGCACCUCAAAGUGAGAUAAUGCCCAAACCCUAAAAUAACCCUAAUUAAGCUGUUCAAGUGCAAAAGGGGAAAUUUGUACAAAGGCAAUGAAAAAUAUGAAAUCAUGGCUUGGGCCAAUUAUAAAACUUGAAAUACACUAUUAAGCUACAAAAGUUAGUAAGGGAGUUUGGCCAAAAGAAUUUUUCAAAAUCCCCAAAAAGGCCAUUCAAGUGGAGGCUUUCUAGAGAAAUCUGAAAUUCAGAUUUCUGAAUUUCAGCCCCUAACCCAAACUCGAGCGCGUUCACCUUAAUCCCUAACUCAUAUCCCUGGGCUCCCAUUAGCAAAUUUGUGCUAAACUAAUCCUUCUACCAUAUAUCUGAAGAUGGCAUUGGGAUUUGGACCCUAGACACGACAAAAUCAAAGAUUUGCCUCGGGCUUGAGCUGUGAGACAGACCCUACUUGAGAGCUCCAUAUAUUUGUUACCAGUAGGCCAAAUCCUUUGACCCCCACACAUAAUCGGUAGCUUAUAGGAAGGGGAAGAGAAUUUGUGCACUGACCAAAGCAAGAGCAGGCUUGGAUGAGUGACUACUCGCGCUAGAACUCGGGCAGAAGAAACGCACACACGUUUUCGACCCUGGUCGACACGUCGGCGUUUGCCCAACCCGCGCGCGCGCUCGCCUCAGCGCACGAUCAAGUCCAUCGUGCGCCCUCCUUGCGCCCGCGCCUAUAAAGGCCAAUGGCCCCUGCUCAACCCUGCUUCAGCUUCGCACACUCACCGCCGACGAACUCCCCCGCCUGCGCACGAGGACCGACCAACUCCUGCCAUCUCCAACGCCGACCCGUACCUCGACGUGACCGCUGUAACCUCCCCGACCUCCCUGGACACCUCACCGGAGCUAGAUCGCCGCCGGUAAGCCCCACCACCCUUUUCUCCGCCACGGGUACUAUUCCAAUAGGGGUAGGACCGCGGGUUAGAUUUAGAUUUACCCCAGGGGGUUUUCUGCAUUGUCAGAUACACGGUUGAAUAGAAGCCUGAGGACCUAUUUGUAAGAGACGCAGGAAAAGUAUACUAAGGACCCUAGCGCAAAGUAGAUUUUCCUUUUCCAUUUGAAAUUCAAUUCUUUAAAUCUGUAGUAAAUUAGUUAAAUGCAUAACUUAAGGAAUACUCAUCCGAAUUUAGUCAAACAAAUUUUUUUAGGCUCUGUGAUUUAUGCACUAUCAAACAAAAAUAGUAAACCUCAUGUUCUCUGUACUAAUUUUUAGAGUUUUGAAUUAAAUAAGAAAACUGUCCAAACCUUAUUAAUACAGAGAAAAAUAGAAAUACUUCUAUACUAGAACGGAGAAAUUAUAGAGACACUUACCUAGCAUAUACACUGUUUAAAAAUAAUGAACACCCUAGUAUACAAAAAUGGACCAGAGAUAUCCAUUAAAGGCUAUUUAUGCCCAAAGUUUAGAAAAAUGAAAAAGGGGAUAGAAAAUAAAAACCAGAGGGUGACCAUAUUUUUCCUAGAAUGCCUAAGUGAUAUAGGUCACAUGAAAAAUAUAUUGAACCCUAGUCUAGUGCUAAUCUAAGAUUAUAAUUUUAUUUAGGCAUUAAGAAGUCAACAAAGGCCAUAGUCAAAAAUAUAUGGGCACAUGCAAUAUUGGCAAGAAAAAUUCAGUAGACCUCUAACCACUAGUAUACCACUGCAAAAAUGGUAAAACCCCAAACCAUCACAGUAAGUGGGUUAAACAAAUGAAACUUGGAUUUAGCUAAUACUUCAAAUAAAUCAAAAGAAAGACUAAAAAUGUGAAAUAGUGAGCAACCCAAAUUUUACCUAAAUACUUAUGAUGUAAACCACCAGAGAAAAAUAUGAAUCUAAGAUAGAAAUAUGAUGUAAUACACCCCAUGAAAAAGACCAUAUAUUCCAAGAAAUUCUACCACCCCUUCCCUUUGAGAAAAAUUAACCAACUUAUGGAAUGAUUGCUCUUGCGCAAAGAGGAAGAUAGAAAAUUAGGAAAUCUGUUGUUUGACAUUUUUCAAAUAUAGUAGUAGUAGAAAGCACCACUAGGCCCUAAAACUUUAGAAAAUCACCAUACAAUGACCAGUAGGUAUCAUUGGCUAAAAUUUGAUACAAAGUCUUAUUAUUACCCCUAGAUGGCAGCAAAAAUAAAACUUAGGGAAAAAUCCAAUGUUACAAGAGAGUUGUAGUUCAAAGCACCUCAUGUGCCCUAAAUUUUAAUAUUUUUGUAUAGAGCAAACCAUUAUCAUUUUAAGCCUCAAUUUUUAAGACUGAGUUAUGCAAAUCAGUGAGAAGCCAAUGUAAUUUUUACAGAUGUUUUAGAAAUUUUUGAAGCUAUGUUGUAGUUCAAACCUACUCUAAGAAGCAUAAAUAAAAAAGGGAAGAAGGGAUAAAUGAAGUAUUAAUGCCCUUCGUCCUUCGAAGCAUUAUUUCCCUUAGGAUAUAACGAUCUUUGGACGAAGGUUAUGAAGGACAUACCUUCAUAAGUAUGACACGUGUAAACAAAGGAUGAAGCUUAUAAAACACAGGAAAAUAACAUAAAUAAUGACAUAACAGCAUAAACAUUUAUUAUUGAGUAAUAAUGAAUACAUGAAAGCAAUAACAAAUUACAUUUGUACCUUGAGUGCGAUAGAAGGCAAAGGCAGAAGUGAAAAAUAUGAAAGCAUGAACAGUACGGGGGUACUGUUCACCUAUUUAUAGGCACAGGGCGCAACCUGUGUGAAUUUACAUUCAUAUCCUCUACAAAUGGUUACAAUCAUAACACAGGUUGUCAUGGGCCGAUUGGUCAUUUUAUCUUUAAGUCGGUGCAUCUGGAAAUACGCUACGAAGCUCCCUGACUGGUAGCUUCGGCAUUGUGUUCUAGCCUUCCGAAGGUGUUUCUUCUCACAAGACAUUCGGCGUCGAAGCAGACCCCCAACAGUAGCCCCUUCACGGUGCCAGAUCGUUUUUCGUAACGAGCUCGACCCGUGAAAAAUUCUUUUAGGCUUCAGAAUGCCGAAGGUCCGAAAAACACCUUCCCUGAGCUCGUUGUCGAGAAACGAUUUAAAUAUUCCCAAAGCGAGGUGGUCCCACCCCUGGGCGGGUACGCACGAUCUGGUGAUUCUUUUUCUCGCGCCCUGCGGUCCACCAUUCAGUGAAUGCGAGCGACUGUUCGGCGGGUGUUGGUAGCUUGAUGAUUCACCAUCCCACCUGCGGCACUAUAUAAACAGACGGGUAGGUGUGAAGUUACCACAGCAUUCAUUACUAUUGUACUGUUGUGCUGCUGAAAAAUUUGACCAUAGCCGAAGCUUAUUCUCCGUAUUCUCAAUCGAAGCAUCAUUUUGCUUUAGCUUCAUCAUAAGAGGGAGCUUUGGCAAAGAUAAAAAGUAAUCAACUUCGUCAAAACGCAAGAAAUUCAGCAUCAUAUGGCCAGGGUGCGCUCGACAGCUAGGAUAACCCAUGACAGAGAGGAGACUGAAGCUACUGAGACUGCCCCAAUCUCCGAAGUUAUGAGGCGGUCGGGACUGGUUGUGACGGAGGGCGCUUCUAACGAAGGUGCACCUACUACUGAAGCCGAGCAGGCAGAUAUUGAAGAGGGUGAUACUAGUGAAGAAGAGAUUGAUUAUAACACCACUAUGCCAUCCAAGCCCAGCCAUUUGGAUUUUGGGAAGUCGACUGUCUCCGAAGUUGAUAUGCCCAUGAUGACUAAGCUAGGCUACUUUGGGGAAGCCGAGAAGAAGUUGAUUCGCUUUGGUGGGGAAGAGACCAUCCCGAAACCAGAAAAUGAUGAAGUGGUAGUUUUUAAGAGCUUAUUCAAAGCAGGGUUGAGGUUUCCUCUGCACGGAAUGAUUGCAGAUGUGUUGGAAAAUUUUGAGAUUUAUCUUCAUCAGCUGACUCCUAACGCUAUCGUAAGGCUCAGUGUGUUUAUCUGGGCUCUUUGAAGCCAAGGAGUGGAGCCACUUGCCGAAGCCUUCUGCCGGGUACACGAACUUCACUAUCAGACGAAGGCUAGAGAAGAUGGACUGCAUGAGAACUUCGGCUGCUAUAAUUUUGCUUACCGCAAAGACAUGAAGACACCGGUGGUUAGCUACCGCACUAAGUGGCCGACCGGUUGGAAAACUGAAUGGUUUUACGUUAAAAUUGAUGAGAAAAUUGAGAAGCUAGUUCAGAGCCCGCUGGAGCUAACCUUCGGGUUGACUAGGCCUCAGUGCAACAUGACGCCGGGGGCAUCAUGCCCAGAUGCUGUGGGCGAAUAUAGAGUUGUAUCUGAACAUAUUGGUACCAGGGAUUUAGUUCAUGAAUACUUAGCCAACAGGGUAUUUCCAACGCUAAAGGAAUGGGGUAUGCCGAAGCUCAAAGGAGAGAAGAAGAAGAAUGAACUCGUUCGGCUGCCCUAUCAUUUUAAAUUCAAGAAACACUUCAAAGAACCCUCCCAAGAAUGGUUGGAUACAAUUUAAGUUAUGUGCAAUGAAAUCCUGGGUAAUUAUACGAAAAAAGAAGAUCAAUUGAUGAUUGCAGCCUUCAGCACCCGGCCGAAGCGAAGGUUGAAUCGGGUGAUGGAUGCCCUGAAUUUUGAAUAUCCUAACUAUGAGCGAUUGAACAAGGGCGCCGAAGGGCCAAAAAGAAAAAGAAAUGUUAGCAUUCUAGGCAGACAAGCUGCUAGAAUGGUGAAAGAAGAUGAAGAAAUUCUGAAGAGGAGAAAAACGAGCCCUGAGCCGAAGGUAGUUGCUCCAAAGAAAAGGAAAAAGCGACUGAUAUAGAUGAAGAGACUCCUUCCACACCUUCUUCUGCCAACAUGGAAGAAAUUCUAAAGGUAAUGACUGAAUCUUUGCCUAUCAAGCUAAGUCCACUGGGGCCACAUCUGAUGAAGCUUUUACAGAAGAAAAAGGAGCCCUCGACAGCGAAGAAGUCUGCUGGGCCGAAGAAACGGAGGAUUAUUACUGUGAUUGAAGCCAUUGAAGAAACACCACCGCUGGCCUUGGCGUCAAAAACACCAGCUGUCGAGAGCGCUACAGCUGCCGAAGCUGCGCCCACCGAAGCUGGAACUGUCGAAGCUUCAACGACCGAAGAUACAAAUCUAGAGAGCACAUUUUUUGAUAUUGAUAAAAUGCUUCUGAAUAUGGCCGCGGAAGAAGCUGCUACAGCCGCCGAAGAGACCCUGGCCACAGUGCCUAGAAAGGAAAAGGAGACAGCCGAAGAUACUUCGGAGGAAAAGGACUUCGAUUUCCAAAACAUUAUUGGUCAGGAGUUAUCUGAAGCUGAGAAGGAAGAGUUGAAAGAUUAUGCUAUAUCAUGUGGUUACAAACCAAGAGCGCUGCUCUUCGGCGGUAUUGACGAUGAAAGCUUAGGUUGUCUCCGAGAUUGAACUGGAGCGAAGGUUAUCAGUACUCUGUCGAAGAGUAUUGGUUUCCCGAAGCUUGAGGCUGAUAUCAGCCGCUACCGACGACAGCAUAUCGUCGGUAGUUUGUUCUAUUCUAAUUUCAAGGUAAAAACUUUUCUUCGGCUUUUCAUUGUUUUAACGACGAAGGAGUUUUCUGACGAAGGUUGUUUUUGUACAGAGUAUGCUAUUAAGUAAGGCUUUGAGGAUGCAACAAGACCUUGAAGACAAAAAACAUGAGGUUAUAAUUGAAGGUUUAGAGAGAAAAAUAAAAGAUCAUGCAGUUUCUCUUGAAAAGAAAGAUUUCGAACUUCAAACAGUGGAGGGUUUACUGGUAGAAACUGAAGCCAAAAUUGCAAAAUUGAAUAGUGAACUCCCCUCAAAAUCAGAAAGAUUCAAACAAGAAAAGCAGAAAUUUGAUGCGAAGUUUGAGGCUGAAGUCGAAAAGAGUUCAAAUUUGCAGAAAUCAUUGAAAGAGCUUCAAGAUAAAUGUCUAGACUUCGGCAACCGAUGCGUGCAGCGGCUAAAGCAGGUCUUCAACUCGGUUGGAGCCAGUUCUGAGAAAUUCAAUCCUUUGGUUGAAGACCUGCCAGGGACCGUCGAACACAUUGAGGGCGAAGUUGAUGCUCUUGAUGAAGUUAUAGCUGGACAUGGCGAUUUCUGUGCCCUGCUAGCUUCUCGGGGCACAACUAUUGCCUUCAUGAAAUCUGGUUGCAUGCAUGGGAAAAUUGUUAAUAGACCAAACUUCAGCUUAUCACCAGUAGAUUUAAUUGAUAUCCCCAGCCUGGCUCGAAGCAUAGGAAAUAGAUUCAUAACACAAAUCUGGACGAAAGGCGGGCGAAACUUGGCUUGCGACGAAGCUCAAAGCCACCUUAAACCGGUAAGAAAUUUGUGCCUGCUGCUUUACCUUCUCCUUGAAAUUUGCACUUUCCUCAUACCGCUUUGAUAUGUACAGGAUGACGAAGUUGUGGAACAGUGAGCCGAAGCUUGGUAGAUGAUCCGAAGCUUAAUGGAUGAUGAUGAAGCUGAAGACCUUGCUGCGAAAAAAAACUCUAGAACAAAUCUUGUAUUAUCCUUGUAAAAAAUAUGGUAAUUUAGGAAUCAGAUACUAUUUUGUAAAUUUGUCCAUACCUUGUAAUAUAUUUCCACCUUUUUGUCCAUGUGUGAACUGCUUUGAUGUGGACGAAAUUUGUAUUUUUUGAGCCGAAGGCGAAAAUCACCUUCCCUUCUUUUCGUACACAACGAAGCAUGAAACUUCUUCCUUUCUUUUCGCCGAAGCCUUAUCCUUAUAUCCGAAGCAACUGCCUGUGUCUGUAUGAUAUGAUGAUGAUGAUGAUCCUAUGUAUGUCUAAAUGAAUGUUUAUGAAUGCAAUGUAUGAUGUAAUGUGACGUGCAAAUGAAUGUCCAAACACACACAUACGAAGCCACAACCAUAACCUUCAUUCCCUUAGGAAUUGCUGAAGUAUCUUUGCCGCUUAUUUUUUGGCUUCACCACUUAUUUUUCGGUGUAAGUUCUGCAUCCCCUUAGGAACGUCUUUUGAACUUCUUCGCCUUCUAUUUCGGCAGUAUUCGUGUCGACUUUUCGCGCUUCGCCUUAUAUUUCGGCGGUAUUAGGCUCUACAUUCCCUUAGGAACGACUUUUGAGCAGAAAACUUACGCUGCGCUCCCUUAGGAACGGCUUUUUGUAGCUUCGUCGUGCUCUGCAUCCCCUUAGGGACGACUUUCGAGCUUCUCCCUGUUUUUUUUUCUCUCUCUGCACUCGAUGGUGCAUGCUCAGAUUUUACAUUUACAUAUUUUGGGAGAUUUUGCUCUUGUAGAGCUGAAUAAGAAAGGAAAAAUUACAAACUAUGGCCCCAUUAAAAACCUUUCUCCCCCUUUGGAAAGGAAAAGGGUGCCAUAGGAAAAAUGUAAAAGGUUACAUCAAUUUAUACAUAAUACCGUCGAAGCUCAUCCACAUUCCAAGAUCUAGGAAUGUCGUUGUCGUCCAUAUCCUUCAAUCUGUAAGAACCGGGCCUCGACGAAGAUACCACCAAAAAGGGGCCUUCCCACUUCAUCUGCAAUUUGCCUACUGUCUCCGGAUUAGCCACUCUUCGAAGCACCAAAUGCCCUGGCUUAAUGUUCUUCAACCGAACUUUUCUGUCAUGCCAUUUUAUUGUUUCGGCUUGGUAUUUAUUGAUAUUCUUCACAGCUUGAUGUCUGGUCCCUUCUAUAGUAUCUUUUGCUACAUGAUUACCAGCUUCGUCUUCUGCCGAAGUUGUUGUUCUUAUUGACCCUGCUUUAGCUUCUUUUGGGGUUAUGGCUUCAUCACCAAAUAAUAAUUUGAACGGUGUAAAACCUGUUGAUCUUGAUAUAGUUGUAUUGUGGCUCCACACCACUUUAAUCAACUCAUCUGGCCAUUUUCCUCUGGCUGAUUAAAGAUUAGCUUCAUUAUUCCCGUCAUUAUAAUGUCAUUUGCUCUUUCGACCAACCCAUUUGACUCCAAAUGCCUUACUGAUGCAAAAUGAAUCUUCGUGUCAAUUUGGUCACAGAAAUCCUUGAACGUUUCAGCAUAAAAUUGUGUUCCAUUAUCCACAGUUAUAGCCUUCGUCACGCCGAAGCGACAAACAAUAUUUUGCCAGAAAAAUUUCUGGACUGUAGCCAAAGUUAUUAUCGCCAAAGGCUUCGCUUCGAUCCACUUAGAAAAAUAUUCUACCGCCACCACGACAUAUUUCAAGUUACCCUGCGCUGGUGGAAGUGGACCUAGUAAAUCUAGGCCCCAUCUUUGCAAUGGCCAGGUUGGUUGUAUCAGUUGAGUCAAUGACGAAGGUUGCUUCUGAUCUCUUGCACAUUUUUUGCAAUUUUCGCAUUUUUGUACCAAAUCCGCUACGCCGAAGCUGCCUUCGGCCAAUAGAAUCCUUGUCGAAAAACCUUUCCCAGAAGAGGUCUGGACCCAAUAUGAUAUCCACACAAUUCUGCAUGUAUCUCCUUCAUCAGUUCUAUACCUUUGGUUCUAGAUAGACACUUGAGAAGUGGGGAACAAACUCCAUGUUUAUAUAACUCCCCUUCUAUUAUGACAUAUGGUCUUGUUCUUGCCUCCAUUCUUUUGUUAUAAACCUCAUCAUCUGAGAGACAGUUACCUUGGAGGAAAGAUAUAAUCUCAGUCCUCCAAUCUUCACUAUGGACAGGAGAUAUUAUGAGCACUACUCUUUCGAGAAGUUCCACCAAAGGUGCUCUUAUUUUCUCAAAAAAUACUUUCGAAGGUAGAGGGAGCCCCUGUGCUGCUGACUUGGCUAGUAGAUCAGCAUGCUCAUUUUCUCCUCGUGGAAUAUUCUUAACAGAAAACCCUUCGAAAGAAGCUUCAAGCCUUCGAACUGUGUCUAGGUAUUUCUCAAGCUUUGGAUCUCUUGCCUUGCAACUUUUGUCAACAUGACCAGAAAUAACUUGAGAGUCGGUUUUAAGGACCGCCCUUCUUAUCCCCAUUGCCUUUAACUUUCGAAGCCCCAAAAGUAAAGCUUCGUAUUCAGCAAUAUUAUUUGUACACCUAAAAUCAAGCCUUAUUGCAUAGCAUGUUCUGACUUUGAAAGGUGCAACUAAGACAGCAGUCGCACCUGCUCCGAAGGUUCCCCAGGAACCGUCGCAUAACACUAUCCAAGCUUCAGCAUCUUUAUUUGUUUCUUCUUCCUGAGCCCCUGGCGUCCAGUCAGCAAUGAAGUCUGCUAACACCUGGGACUGAAUUGAGGAUCUAUGCACAUAGUCAAUGCUGAAUUCGUUAAGUUCCGCAGCCCACUUUCCAAUCCUUCCAGUAGCUUCUCUGUUCCUCAUAAUAUCCUUCAGAGGUUGUGAUGAAGGAACAAUUAUAUGGAAUGCUUGAAAAUAAUGUCGAAGCUUCCUGGAGGCCAUUAAGACAGCAUACAACACCUUCUCCAAUUCUGUAUAGUUUUUCUUUGAUAAACUUAGAACUUCGGAGACAAAGUAUACUGGGGCUUGCUUUUUAAUUUGUCCUUCCAGUUUCUCCUGCACAAGCGCCACACUCACUGCAGAGUGCGAAGCUGCCACAUACAAUAGUAAUGGAGCCCCUGGCGCGGGUGGAGUUAAUGUUGUUAGAUCAAUCAAGUAUUGCUUCAACUCUUUGAAGGCUUUCUGUUGAGCUGGGCCCCAUUGAAAGACUUCGGCUGACUUUAGUAUUUCAAAGAAUGGCAAGUUUCUUUCUGCUGAUCUAGAUAUAAAUCUAUUCAAUGAAGCCAGUCUUCCUGCCAACCGUUUGGCCCCGUUCUUUGUGCUUGGCGGUUCCAUUCGAAGGAUAGCUUCGAUCUUGCUUGGGUUAGCUUCGAUCCCCUUCGUUGAAACUAGACAGCCAAGGAACUUACCCUUCUUCACUCCAAAGACACAUUUUUUAGGAUUUAAUAUCAGGCCAGCUUGCCUAAAAUUAGCAAAUGUUUCUUGCAGAUCAGUGAUAUGAUUUUCUUGCUUCGUGCUUUUUACUAUGAUAUCAUCAACGUAUGUUAGCACAUUUCUGCCUAUCUGAGAAUGAAGGACCUUGGCUUUCAUUCUACUGAAGCUUCCUCCAGCAUUCUUGAGCCCCUCAGGCAUCCAAAGAUAACAAUAGGUGCCGCUGGGAGUUAUGAAGCUGGUCUUCGGCUCAUCCUCCUUCUUCAUCCAUAUUUGAUGAUAUCCUGAGUAGCAAUCCAGCAGACUCAUAAGUUCUGAAGAAGCUGUUGCAUCUACAAGGGAGUCUAUCCUCGGUAAUGGAAAUUCGUCCUUGGGACAGGCCUUGUUGAGAUCCAUGAAAUCAAUACACAUUCUCCAUUUGCCAUUGGCCUUCUUUACCAUAACAGUAUUGGCUAGCCACUCUGGAUAUUUUACCUCUCUGAUAACACCAGCACUGAGAAGUCUUUUUACUUCAUUCCGAGCACCUUCGGCUUUAUCAUCAGACAUUUUCCGAAGCCUUUGCUUUCUUGGCCUGAAGGAUGGGUCGACAUUGAGUGAAUGUUCAAUGACGCCUCUGUUGACACCACAGAGAUCAUUGGCUGACCAAGCAAAAACAUCUUUGUUGUUGAAUAAAAACCUUAUCAAAGUUUUCUUCUGCUCUUCAGAUAGCUGAGACCCCAACAGUACCUUAUGCUCUGCUAUGUCUUCACAUAGAAGCAUAGGUUUCAGCUAAUUAGCCGAAGCAGCCUUCUCUCUUCUGUACUUGUACUGUUCACAAGCUUCAGUUCCAUCUAUAUUGUGGAUCGCUUUUGAGUCUGUCCAGUUUCCUUCGGCUUUUCUAGCAGCUGAACAGCAAUGGGCCCUUGUUCUGAAGGUAUCUUCAUGCAUAGAUAUGCUGGAUGAAGUAUUGCUUCGAAAGCAUUGAGUGUCCCACGACCAAUGAUUGCAUUGUAGGGAUAUUCCAUAUCAACGAUGUCAAACACAACAUGUUCAGUCCUUGUGUUGUGGACAAAGCCGAAGGUCACUGACAUCGUGAUUUUGUCGAGUGCUGCAAUUUGCCUUCCUCCGAAGCCACAAAGAGGGUGUGUAGCAUCAUGAAUCUUAUCCUCUGGCUCUUGCAUUUGUUUGAAGGCCUUAGCAAAUAUGAUAUCCGCUGCACUGGAUGUAUCAACCAGAACAUUGUGGACCAGAAAUCCCUUGAUGACACAAGAUGUCACACCCGGUUUUUAGAAGGCAAACCGAAUGCGAACCAUGUACGUGCCAGGAUCAGUUAUUCACGUACACAGCAGUUACAUAACAUGGACAUCAUCACAUAGUGCUCAAAAUAGUAUUAAAAGGGAAAUAAUAGUCGAUUACAUCAUACGUCUGAGACGUCCAUAUAGUCCUUACAAUAAAUCAAAGUGCGGAAAAGAAACGUAGAUAACCGCGGCCUCCACAGGCAGCCGACUGGGGGUUGCCGCUAACCCACGCCUAGAAUUCGUCGUAGUCUUGGAACUCCUGGAAGUCUCCUUCCACAGCUUCAUCUUCGCCUGAGCAGUGGUUGCAAUGCUGACAACCUGGGGAUGGGGGUGGUUUGGUGUGUAGAGCAAGGGUGAGUACACAUCAACAUACUCAGCAAGUAUCAUGUUUGGCUGUAGUGGACUAGCUUUAUGUGGGGAUAAGUCAAGCAGUUGCUUUUAGUUGGUCAGAUUAUUAUUUACUAAUAGAAAGCCAGGUUUUAGCAUUAACCCAAAUUAUUAGCCCGAUGUACCCUUUCCAAACGGAAAGAAUACCACUUACCAGCACCAUAGUCAUAACCAAAACCAUCGAUCUCAUAGCCACCUGUACCAUAAUAUCUCUGAUCAAGUACCACUAAUCACUGGAGCUCCCUUGGCCGCUCAUAACCGCGAGCACGGCUGAUAUAUCAGUUUUCAAACACUCUGCAGAGGUUGUGCACUUUACCCACAAGCCGUGAUUCCCUUUUUGCCUGGAGAUCAUGACUCUCCAUUGAUCACUACCAAGGUGACCCAGCAGGGCAUCACUACGUAGCCUUUACAAAGAUUCCCCGGGGCUGUAGCCACCCGUUAGGUUUCCUAAAUGCACUGCACUCCUCCCCAAGGGGCGAACCAAAACUUGGCAGAGCGAGCCGCAUACACCGAGCCCCAUUGACGGCACGACGGCUAAGUGAACUACGCCCCGGAUCCUCUAAUUAUUCAGCUAAGGGCAUCCCAUUCCACCCUCAUGGUUGCACUGUUUUCACGGGCGGUCAUCCAUAGAACAGGUCCUUACGGAGAGGCACUCGAGAAACCGCUCGAGCCCCCUUGAUGACCACAAGUACAACAUCAUAAUAAGAGAAGGGAAAACAGCGUAUCAUAGAUAAUCUCAUCAUGUUCAUUGAUUAAAGUUUGGGCAAUAGCAUAAAGCUAAACAAUAAUAAUCCAACCCAGAUAGGUAGACAAGGACAUGGAUAACAAAAGCUAGUCAAUCCUUAGGCAUAAAUGUGUAAUGCGGGAGGUGAAUUAAAGAAUGAAUAGGACAGAGAUAGGUCAAGGGACACUUGCCUCCACCAACCGACUGCUGCUCAGGGGCUUCUCCUGCGAGUUCCUCGGGCUCUUCGACCGGAUCGUUCUCUAUGCGAUUGCAAGCACACAUACAUUCAUCCAUUCAAAUUAGGAAACAAACAGUACACCAUACAAGAGAACAAAUAAAGUAAAUAUGCAUAAAGUAUGACAUUCGAUAUCGCAUUCGUUAAGGUUAGAAAGAAACGGGAAAAGGUCUCGCGGGGGGGGGGGGUUAAAGCUUAUGCACUAAUGAUUAGUUACAAUUGGUUCUAACAAAAGAAUUUAGUUAUAUGCACUAAUGGAAACCUAGUCAUUUUUAGUUGAUCAACAUUGAACUGGAUAAACAAUUGAUUAUAUGAAUUAAGUAGCGUAACGGAAUUCUAAAUUAAGUUUCCUAUUUCAAUAACAUGAACAAUGAUUAGCCUGCCUAAAAUAAAAUAAAUAACAAUAAUAAAAGAACAUAAAAUAAAAUAAAAUAAACAAUAAAUAAAUAAAAAAGGGGGGCGGUUGAACCGGCCAGGGGGCGGUUGAACCGGCCAGGGGGCGGUUGAACCGGCCUGGGGCAGGGGCGGCUGGGCAGGGCGUGGGUGCGGGGCGGCCGAGCUAGGGCGGCUGGGCGCGCAGGGGGGCGGCCGAGCUGGGGCGGCUGGGCGCGCAGGGGGGCGGCCGAGCUGGGGCGGCCGAGCGGUGGCUGGGCGCGCGGGCAGGGGCGGUUGGGCCGGGCGGCGGCCUGACCGGGGAGAGGGAGGGGAGGGGAGAGGGAAGGGAGAGGGAGGGGAGGGGAGAGGGAAGGGAGAGGGGAGGGCUCACCGGGGACGGGGACGGUGCGGCCGAGCUGCAGGGGGCGGCGGCUAGGGCAGGGGGCGGCGGCUAGAGAGAAAAUGGGAGAAAGGGAGGGAGAGAGAGGGAUUUGGGGGGAAGAGGGAGGGGCGGCUGUGCCAGCUGGGCCCAAAGGGGGCGCGCGGGGGGGCGGCUGGGCCGGCCAGGGGCGGCUGGGCCGGCCGAGGCGGCCCACGGCGCGGGAGAGAGAAAAAGGGAGGAGAGAGAGAAGGGAAAAGAGAAGGAAAAGAAAAGAAAAAGAGAAAAAAAAGGUUUUCUCCUUUUCGAAAUCCGAUCUUCCUAGAUGAAUGCACUUACAUUUUUAAGCAAUCGAAAGAAUGCAUGGUUCGGCAUGGUGUAUCAAACAACAUAAAGUAUUUUAAGGUUUUGCUUAACACGGGAAUUCCAAGCCGAACCCCGCUAAAACUUUGGAAAAGGUCAAGGUUUAGCGAGAGAACGAGAAAAGAAAAGAGUAACGCCUGAAUUUGGUGAGAGAAAAGAAGAAAAAAUUCUACCCCCAAAUUCAGGGCGUUACACAAGAUAUGACCAUAACAUCAUUAUGAGGGUAAUCCUUGAGCUGAAGGUCCUCCUAGGAGAAGGUGAUUGGGAUGUGGGACCAUUUUGACUUGAUGAAGGGUCCCUGCACCCCAACAUGUUGCACCCUUCUUUGAGCCUCCUUAUUCUGCUUCUUGUUGGCCGGUUCUGAGCAUGAACCGCCUGUUAUCGGGAGCACCAGCUUCGUAGCCGAAGCAACUUCAGCUUGAUUGUUGAACGAAGCCAUCAGCUCAAUAGUGGAAGUGAGUUCACCGGAGGUGGGCGCCAAUGUUGGGGACUUGUUCUCAAAUGCUAUGAAUUAAGAACAAGGCAACAUAAAAUGCUAAAUGUUAAUGCCCUUCGUCCUUCGAAGCAUUAUUUCCCUUAGGAUAUAACGAUCUUUGGACGAAGGUUAUGAAGGACAUACCUUCAUAGGUAUGACACGUGUAAACAAAGGAUGAAGCUUAUAAAACACAGGAAAAUAACAUAAAUAAUGACAUAACAGCAUAAACAUUUAUUAUUGAAUAAUAAUGGAUACAUGAAAGCAAUAACAAAUUACAUUUGUACCUUGAGUGCGACAGAAGGCAAAGGCAGAAGUGAAAAUAUGAAAGCGUGAACAGUACGGGGGUACUAUUCACCUAUUUAUAGGCACAGGGCACAGCCUGUGUGAAUUUACAUUCAUGUCCUCUACAAAUGGUUACAAUCAUAACACAGGUUGUCAUGGGCCGAUUGGUCAUUUCAUCUUUAAGUCGGUGCAUCUGGAAAUACGCUACGAAGCUCCCUGACUGGUAGCUUCGGCAUUGUGUUCUGGCCUUCCGAAGGUGUUUCUUCUCACAAGACCUUCGGCGUCGAAGCAGACCCCCAACAGUUAAGUCAUAAAUGCUUCAGUCAAGAACCUUAUUUAAUCAUCACUAGGACAUAGAGGGAUUGUUGAGUACAACCUUAAUCUAACUUCCUAGAUUGACCACACCUACUUCUAAUUGCCAUGUAUACCCCAAGAACCUCAAAUAAUGGAGCUAAAACCUGCCCUGCUAACUUAAGUACUUCACCUCGCAUUUCAAUUAUUAAUUUACAUACCAUGGCAUACAUAUCUCUUAUUCAAUGCAUUCAUUUAGAUUGCAACCUCGCUGACGGAGAGUACGUGCUCGUCCCUGAGCAAGGAGCUACCCAAGAGGAAGUCCAGGAGCUAGCUCCAGAGCCUGCCCCCGAGGAUCUUCCCGCAGCCUUAACUUUUGAAGGCAAGCCCCGAUUUUAUGCAUAACCAUUAUAUAUGCUACUUUACUACACUUAAUGUUUGUAGGUUUGUAAUGUGCACUUAAGUGUAGGAGUUGCUUGAAACCCUUAGUUGCAUGAAUUCAUGAUUCCUUUUUGAGACGUAUACUAGUAUGCUAGGUCGAGUAGCUGCUUUGCUAAAUAGGGAUCUCGGUAGAAGUCGAGCGAUUUUUCUAGCACUCUCGCGAGGUCAGACAUUGAUUGUAUUCAUCUUGAUAACAGGAUCUUUGAAGGUCUAUGGACUUGGAUCCAGGGUGGAUGCCUUGUCUAUGAGACGGAAAUGGAAUUAAGGAUUAAUGUGUGGAUACCUGAGUCAAGCGUUUGAAAGUACUAAACACAUGUCGGGAAAUAUGGUAACUGGUAAGCCUAGUACAUAUGUGAAGCCGGGCGUGGACUUUAUCCCUCACUUUUCUUGAGAUUGGGUCUCCCAUGCUAGCUAUGGUGGGUACAAGUGCGGUCACUGCACGGCGGCAGCCGGGGUUAGUGGAGCAUUGUAUGCCAAGGCGAUGGGCCCUAGUUGCAAAUGGGGAACCGAUGGGGCCGGUUAACGUGUGUGGAGACGGAGUGCUCCUACAUGUCGUGUGUUUAGGUUUACCUUGCAAGGUUAAAACUCGAUUCGAAUCGUCUGCUUCUCGCAGAUAAUGAGACUGCUUGACCCCUUGUACUGCAUUGAGCAAAAAGUGAAAUGAGGUUUUACUUGAGAUAACAUGUUGAUUGUAUUAAAUGAUUGUUACCAUGUAUGCUUAGAAAGGAGCAAACAUAGCUUAAGUAAAUAUGGUGGAAUUGGGAAAGCUAAAAUUGUUUUUAGACUCAGCUAGUGCUUUUGGCAAGCCAAACCCCUCAGCCAAACAGCUGCAUGGUCUAGAGUUAGAGGAGUAGACUCCUCACACCGGGUAAGUUUAGCUGAGUAUUAGUAUACUCAGCCUUGCUUGUGGCAUAUAUUUUCAGGUACGCUACAGGAUAUGGUUGACGGUGUGACUUGGCCUUCCACCCUACCACCGGGUUGGACGGUUGAAUGGGAUGUUGCCUCGACAGGAGAGGACCAGAAGGAGUAUUGGGCUAGGCCUUGCCCUAAUCCUCCGUAUCGUCGUUAUCCAUUAUCCGCUGCAUUUUAAUUGUGAACUUGUUCUCUUUUAUUAAAACUCCAACUUAUGCAAUAACUCCAAUACUUUAAUUUGUGGUUUCAUGUUUAUUGUAUUCUCUCUACGACUCACCAUCGUCUGAGCUAAUGGUACUCGAUCCUUGGUAAGUGGCUUUAUCAGACUAGAUCUGAGGGACUGACGGGUUUUUCCGAUUUAAGUGUGUUGCUGCCUCUAAGGCGUGACUUGGGCACUUAACCUAGAAUAAUUCGGGCGGUUCUGCCACAGCUGGUAUCGGAGCGAAUAUCAUUAUAGAGGAAUCAAUAAGUCUUGAAUGCCAACUUUUCAAAAAAUAAAAUUUGCCUAGAAACCAGUGUUGGGUCGUUAGGACUAGAACGCUAGACCUAGGAUGAAAGGCCUUAGGAAUAGUGGAGAAAAUAGGUAGCUAUAUAAGUAGGCCAUAUAGGCAAGUCUUAGAAUAAUAGUGAUGCCCUAGAAGCACCCUCUCUGAUCUGUGAGGAAACAUUCCUUCCAGCAUGCAUGCAUCAUAAAAUAUGAAGAAAUUGGAAGCUAAGGAAAAAUGCAUCUAAGUGUGAAUGUAACAAAUAGGGUUAAUAAUAAAUAACGAAAUGAGUAGAUAAAUCUAAUUUAACCCACCUCCUAUUAACAACCUGGGCACAUGUGUUUUUCCUUUCCACUACCAUAACACUUACAUCUAACCCUCUAUCAUAGAUGACUUCACCCACCCCAUCAAUAGAGGAGACACUCGUUUCAGUUUCGACUACCUUUCUCACGAGGGUUUUCCCUCCAUCUUGUGGGAGGUGCUCUGCUCCGCUGGUUACCCUACACCCCUCUGUACACGGUGCAGUUGUACGAGGAACAUCGCGUGCCACGUUGCCGGUUUGGCUAACUCUGGAGCCUCACCCUCUGCAGCCUGGAUGGCGUUCCCUUGAUUUCGAGACUAUCGGGUUCAGAGCGGACGACACCACCGAGGCCGCAGCACUGAAGACCCUGACAACCUUCUGCGGGUAUCAUCCCUUGGAGAUGGUGAUGCACCCACAGGGACUCUUCCCCACCGAGAAGAGGGAUGACCCCAUGUGGUGCAAUAGAGUGAGCCAUGUGAAGGACGUGUGGGCCAUGCAUCCCGACCAAGUUGGGAGGAUCACUUUUCAAUGUAUGAGCGCGGUGUACCCCGCCUACAAGCCCUGCAGAGUGAUGCUAUGGCACACCUCACUAACCUUGCUCAGACUACUAAGGUCACCCUCGAUAGUCGAAAGGACUUCGUGGUCGACUUGUCUUCGGAAUUGGUGGAAAAGGACCCACAGGUUGAACAGUUGAGCCAGCCCAUCGUGACCCUAGAGCAGCAGGUGGAAAUCCGGGAUAACACCAUCGAUAUCCUGGAGAUCCAGCUCCAUGACAUGCAGGAGGAACUUGAAGAAGCCAAUGACCACCUGGAGAUGCACCACCAGGAUAUGGAGGCAAACGAGGCAGGAAGCGAGGGAGAGGAGGAUCCCGAGAAAUUAGAGCCAGCCCCUGGUCCCAAUGCGACUCCCUUCGGAGUGCCCCUUUACCUGCAUCCAGUGUUGCCUCUACCACUCAGGGUUGAUGGGUUAGUUGACAUAAUAGGGGAUAGGAACCCAUGCGAGCUUAGUUUUGGUACCAAUUUUUGGACUAGGCUUCAGGGUAAAACUCCUAAAUUGUUGUAACCCGGGAAGAACUUUUAUGAGUAAUGAAUGCAAGCAUGUUAUUCUCGUUGGUUUCAAUACUAUGUUAUGAUAUUUUCUUCUCAUAAUAUCAAGGAUUAUGUUGGAACCAUGAGUCGAAAUAACAACGGCGGAAUUUCUAUUUUUAGAUGGCAGCUAGGCAGCGUCGCGGGCAGAACGAGCAGGUUCCCCCGCCGCCUCCUCUAGCUCCCACGGUGCAGGAGCUAAUGGCUCAGCAGAAUGAGAUUCUACGACAGCUAUUGCAGCGCUAGCCCCACCCUCAGUAGUAUGGUGGAGGCCAGCCGCAACGUCGUCCAGCCGCGGCAACCUAUCAAGAGUUCUUGAGCACGCAGCCGCCCUUGUUCACCAAAGCAGAGGAUCUGCUAGACACUGAUGUGUGGCUAAGGGUUGUGGAGUCAAAGUUCUCACUCCUCAUGGGAGCUUGCCCUGAUGACACGAAGACCCGUUUUGCCGCACGGCAGCUUCACGGGCCUGCUAGGACAUGGUGGGACCAUUUCCGUGCCAUAUUACCUGCUGACCAUAUUCCAGUAGGGAUUCUGGAUCGCAAGCUCAACGAGUUCUUGGCUUUGACUCAGGGAACCCGCACUAUGCUACAGUAUGCCCAGGCCUUCAACGACUUAUGCUAGUAUGCAUGCUAUCAUGCAGAUUCAGAUGAGAAGAAGAAAGACCAUUUCCACAGGGGACUCAACACCAAGCUGCGUGAGCGCCUCAACACUGUUCGGGCUGACAACUUCAAUGAACUGGUCAACCUAGCUAUAUCACAAGAAGACUGUAUUGUAGCUCACCGGGUAGAAAAAAAGAGGAAGGCGCCAAUGUUCGGACCCUCAGCUCCACCCUAGGGGUUCCGAAUUGUCUCCAACAGUCAGAGCAGAGGAUUUCAGCAUCAAGUAGGAAGAUGGGUCAUAAGGCCGCCGCAGCAGCAUCAAGCACCCAACAUUUCCCUGUUCCCGCUCCAAGGAACAAUCAGCCUCAGCAGCAGCAGUAGUUCCACCAAGGGAAUGGAAACAAGUGCUUCACGUGUGGCAAUGUGGGCCAUUAUGCCAAGAAUUGCCGAUGGAAUCAGCCAAGGCAGAUGCCAGCCCCCAACCAAGACAAAGGGAGGAAGCAGAAAGUGCAAGUCAGGCAAGGGCAGCUCAACUUCACCACUCUAGAGGAGCUACCUGAAGGAGCACCUAUCAUGAUUGGUACUUUUUCCGUUUUCAAUCAACCUGCAUUAAUUUUGUUUGACUCCGGUGCAUCGCAUAGUUUCAUUAGCUAGAAGUUCAGUGCCAAAUGUCAGUUGCCUUUCUUUCAUACCCAAGGGUCUUUCAUGAUAGCAACGCCUAGGGGCAAAAUUGCAACAAAUCAAUUAAACUGCAGUAUACCUAUCUAGCUGGGAAGCAAGGUGUGCAAAACCACCCUCCUCAUUUUGGGAAUGGAUAAUGUGGAUGUCAUUUUGGGCACUGAUUGGAUGACCCAGCACCAAGUAGUGCUAGAUGUCGCCAAGCGCAUCAUCGAAGUCCAUUCCCCUACCUAUGGAAAGUUCACCUUAUAUCUGCCUAGCCAAGAAACCACUCAGUCAUGUGCUUUUUCCAUGAUAGAGCUUCCCUUGAAGAAAAUUUUAGUGGUCUGUGAGUAUGCAGAUGUUUUUCCUGAUGAGUUGCCCGGAAUGCCGCCAGAUCAGGAUAGCGAGUUUGCCAUCGAAUUGCAACUGGGAACGACACCUAUCUAUAAGAGGCCCUACCGGAUGCCACCCGCUGAGUUGGCAGAAUUGAAGAAGCAGUUGCAAGAAUUGCUCGACAAGGGUUUCAUCCGCCCAAGUACUUCACCUUGGGGAUGUCCAGCCUUGUUCGUGAAGAAGGAUGAAAGCUUGAGAUUAUGUAUAUAUUACCGCCCACUCAAUGCGGUGACUAUCAAAAACAAGUAUCAUUUGCCUCGUAUUGAUGUUCUUUUCGACCAAUUGGUCAGAGCCAAGGUGUUUUCCAAAAUAGAUCUUCGCUUCGGCUAUCAUCAAAUCAAGAUACGAGCAAGUGAUAUUCCAAAGUCUGCCUUCUCAACCAGAUAUGGGCUGUAUGAGUACCUGACGAUGUCGUUUGGGUUGACAAAUGCACCCGCAUACUUCAUGUAUCUGAUGAAUUCAGUCUUCAUGCCUGAACUGGACAAAUUUGUGGUGGUUUUCAUCGACGAUAUCUUGGUGUACUCAAGGAACGAAGAAGAGCAUGCCAGUCAUUCGCAUGUAGUGCUCCAAUGUCUGAGGGAACACCGCCUUUAUGCCAAAUUGUCAAAAUGUGAUUUCUGGCUAAAGGAGAUUAAAUUCUUGGGUCACACUAUCUCUCAAGGUUGCAUAGUUGUUGAUCUCGAUAAGGUGCAAGAGGUGAUGAAUUGGAAGCCACCCACGACUGGUUGUCAGAUUCGGAGUUUUCUAGGAUUGGCCGGGUAUUAUUGACAAUUUAUUCCAGAUUUUUCUCGAAUCGCAAAGCCCAUGACAAAAUUGUUGAAGAAGGGAGCAAAAUUCGAAUGGGGUCAGAAAUGUGAGGAUGUCUUCCACACCUUGAGGCAACAUCUGACCACAACACCUGUGUUAGCAUAGCCUGACAGCAACAAACUGUUCGAUGUGUACUGUGAUGCCUCGGGCACUGGACUAGGUUGUGUUUUAAUGCAAGACAACCGAGUCAUUGCCUAUGCAUCAAGAGCACUCAGACCUCAUGAGCAAAAUUAUCCUACUCAUGAUUUAGAGUUAGCAGUCGUGGUUCAUGCAUUGAAAAUGUGGAGACACUACCUGAUGGGAACACACUGCAACAUCUAUACAGAUAACAAGAGUCUCAAGUACAUCUUUACUCAAGCUGAUCUCAACAUGAGGCUGAGAAGAUGGCUAGAAUUGAUCAAGGACUACGAGUUAGAAUUGCAUUACCACCCGGGGAAAGCUAAUGUGGUUGCAGAUGCCUUAAUUCAAAAGUCACAAUGCAACUGUAUGAUGAUGGAUUCUCGCAUCAAUACCUUGUGCGAUGAGUUGAGUAAGAUGAGUAUCGAAGUAAUUCCUUCUGGUACCUUGUCUCACAUCUUCGUCGAGCCAGCCUUGUCAGACCAGAUUAUUAUGGCCCAACUAGUUGACAAGGGAGUGCAAACCAUUAAAGAGAAUCUUAAUCAGAAAGUGGAGAAGUACAAAUGCUCUCGCCAAGACCGCAAGGGGAUACUGUGGUUUGAAGACAGAUUGGUGGUUCCUAAAAAUAGAGACCUCAAGAAGAGAAUCUUGGAUGAGGCUCAUCUCUCCAAAUUCUCCAUGCACCCAGGAAUCACCAAGAUGUACCAUUAUUUGAAGCCCCAAUAUUGGUGGACCAGAAUGAAAAGGUAGAUAGCCCAAUAUGUAUCGGAAUGUGACACCUGUCAGAGGAUAAAGGCAAGCCACUUAAAAUCAGCUGGUGUCUUGCAACCCCUAUCGAUACCUUCAUGGAAAUGGAAUGACAUCAGCAUGGAUUUCAUUGUGGGUCUGCCCAACACCUGUCGACAUCAUGAUUCAAUUUGGGUCAUUGUGGACCGAUUGACAAAAGUGGCUGAUUUUCUUCUAGUGCACACCACCGACAAGGCUCAUAAGUAUGCAGAGUUGUACAUUGACGGAAUUUUGUGUUUGCACGGAUUACCCCGACAAUUGUCUCUGACCGAGGAGUCCAAUUCAUAGCUAGAUUUUGGGAGCAAUUGCAAGAGUCCUUAGGGACCAAGCUAGUAAGAAGUUUUGCUUACCACCCCAGACUGAUGGUUAGACCGAAAUGGUAAAUCAAAUUCUUGAAGAUAUGCUAAGGGCUUGUGUGAUCAAUUACGGCAAGAACUGGGAUAAGUACCUCUCUUUGGCAGAGUUUGCUUAUAACAACAAUUAUCAGAACAGUCUGAAGAUGGCACCUUUGAAUCCCUAUAUGGAAGGAGGUGUCAAACACCCCUCAACUGGUCACAGCCUGGAGAAAGAGAAAUCUUUGGGCCUGACCUAGUGUCGGAAGCCAAAAGAAAGGUCAAGCUGAUUAGGAAGAACCUAGAAGCUGCUCAGGCCAGGCAAAAGAGUUACCAUGACAAGAGAAGGAAACCCCUCCAGUUUGAAGUGGGAGAUUUCGUAUAUCUAAAAGUAUCGCCCACGAAAGGAGUGCAAAGGUUUGGGAUCAAAGGCAAGUUAGCCCCUCGCUACAUUGGACCUUAUGAAAUCAUGGAAGCAUGUGGACCCGUGGCAUACAAAUUGAAGCUACCUCCAAAAAUGUCUGCCAUCCACAAUGUGUUCCAUGUAUCCCAAUUGAAGAAACGUGUUCGAAUACCAACAGAGGUUGUAGCAGAACCAGAUGUGGAGCUAGAGCCAGAUCUAUCAUACCAAGAGCACCCCUCCAAAGUUCUGGAUUGCAAGGAAAAAUCAACUCAUGCGAGGUCGAUCAAAAUGUAUAAGAUCCAAUGGAGUAACCAUUCGGAGGAAGAAGCUACCUAAGAGACUGAGGAUUUUCUACGCGCGAACUACCCUGAUUGUCUACCUAAGGAAACCGGUACAUAACCAUACCCCAGCCCCCUGCCCUCUGAAUCCAAAUAUAAGAAAGAUGAUCUUAACAUAAACCAAGUUAAGCUAUGAAACAAAAACUAAAAGGACUUCUUUCUGAAGUUGCAAAGAGGAUGACAUUCGAAGAGCAGGUUUCUAAAGAACCUUAAUAAACAACCCACACCAUGAAGGAAAACCGUAACCUUCUCAUCACCCCUAGAGGAUCCCGACCCGAAUCUCAGGACGAGAUUCCUUUAAGGGGGGAAGGCUAUAACACCCAGGUGUUACUUAGGGUUUCUUCUCAGUACUAAUCUCAAGAUCAUUAUCACAUGUAAAUCAAAUUGAGUAAAAGAUACCAAACUUGACGAGCAAAAAGUCAAUUAAGCCUUUUUAUCUCAAGGAUCAUGCCUUAACCAUAUCAUGCACCUCAAAGUGAGAAAAAUGCCAAACCCUAAAAUAACCCUAAUUAAGCCAUUCAAGUGCAAAAGGGGAAAUUUGUAAAAAAGGCAAUGAAAAAUAUGAAAUCAUGGCUUGGGUCAAUUAUAAAACUUGAAAUACACUAAUUAAGCUACAAAAGUUAGUAAGGGAGUUUGGCCAAAAGAAUUUUUCAAAAUCCCCAAAAAGACCAUUCAGGUGGAGGCUUUCUAGAGAAAUCUAAAAUUCAGAUUUCUGAAUUUCAGCCUUUGACCCAAACUCGAGCGCGUUCACCUUAAUCCCUUACUCAAAUCCCUGGGGUCUCAUUAUCAAAUUUGUGCUAAACUAAUCCCUCUACCACAUAUCUGAAGAUGGCAUUGGGAUUCGGACCCUAGACACGACAAAACCGAAGAUUUGCCUCGGGCUCGGGCUGUGAGACAGACCCUACUUGAGAGCUCCAUAUCUUUGAAACCAGUAGGCCAAAUCCUUUGACCCCCACACAUAAUCGGUAGCUUAUAGGAAAGGGAAGAGGUUUUGUGCACUGACCAAGCCAAGAGCAGGCUUGGAAGAGUGACUACUAGCACCAAAACCCGGGCAGAAGAAACGCACACACGUGUUCGACCCUAGUCGGCACGCCGGUGUUCACCCAACCCGCGCGCGCGCUCGCCCCAGCACACGGUCGAGUUCGCCGCGCGCCCGCGCCUAUAAAGGCCAAUGGCCCCUGCUCGACCCUACCUCAGCUUUGCACACUCGCCGCCGACGAACUCCCCCACCUGCGCACAAGGACCGACCAACUCCGGCCAUCUCCGACGCCAACCUGUACCUCGACGUGACCGCCGUAACCUCCCCGACCUCCCUGGACACCUCACCGGAGCUAGAUCACCGUCGAUAAGCCCCGUCGGCCGUCGCCCUUUUCUCCGCCACGGGUACUGUUCCAAUAGGGGUAGGACCACGGGCUAGAUUUAGAUUUACCCCAGGGGAUUUUCUGCAUUGUCAGAGACUCAAUUGAAUAGUAGCCCGAGGACCUGUUUGUAAGAGACGCAGGAAAAGUAUAUCAGGGACCCUAGCACAAAGUCGAUUUUCCUUUUCUAUUUCAAAUUCAAUUCUUUAAAUAUGCAGUAAAUUAGUUAAAUGCAUAACUUAAGGAAUACUCAUCCAAAUUUAGUCAAACAAAUUUUGUUAGGCUCUGUGAUUUAUGCACUAUCAAACAAAAUAGUAAACCUCAUGUUCUCUGUACUAAUUUUUAGAGUUUUGAAUUAAAUUAGAAAACUGUCCAAACCUUAUUAAUACAGAGAAAAAUAAAAAUACUUCUAUACUGGACUGGAGAAAAUUGUAGAGACACUUACCUAGCGUAUACACUGUUUAAAAAUAAUGAACACCCUAGUAUAAAAAAAUGGACCAGAGAUAUCCAUUAAAGGCUAUUUCUGCCCAAACUUUAGAAAAAUGAAAAAGGGGAUAGAAAAUAAAAACCAGAGAGUGACCAUAUUUUUCCUAGAAUGCCUAAGUGGUAUAGGUCACAAGAAAAAUAUAUGGAACCCUAGUCUAGUGCUAAUCUAAGAUUAUAAUUUUAUUUAGGCAUUAAGAAGUCAACAAAGGCCAUAGUUAAAAAUAUAUGAGCACAUGCAAUAUUUGCAAGAAAAAUUCAGUAGACAUCUAACCACUAGUAUACCACUUCAAAAAUGGUAAAAACACCAAACCAUCACAGUAAGUGGGUUAAACAAGUGAAACUUGGAUUUAGCCAAUACUUCAAAUAAAUCAAAAGAAAGACUAAAAUGUGAAACAGUGAGCAACCCAAAUUUUACCUAAAUACUUAUGAUGUAAACCACCAGAGAAAAUAUGAAACUAAGAUAGAAAUAUGAUGUAAUACACCCCACUCCCAACCCAUGAAAAGUACCAUAUAUUCCAAGAAAUUCUACCACCCUUUCCCUUUGAGCAAAAUUAACCAACUUAAGGAAUGAUUGCUCUUACGCAAAGAGGAAGAUAGAAAAGUUAGGAAAUCUGUUGUUUGAAAUUUUUCAAAUAUAGUAGUUGUUGGGGGACUGCUUCGUCGCCGAAGGUCCUUUAAGAAGAAACACCUUCGGAAGAUCAGCACAUAAGCAAAUACAGCACGAAGGUACUCGCCGAAGCUACCAUCCAGGGAGCUUCGACAUAGCGACAUGCCUUGAGACGAAGGGCUGCACCGACUUAAAGAAGAAAAGACCAAUCGGUCCAUGAUAAUUUGUGUUAUAAUUGUAACUAGUUGUCGAGGACAUAAAUGUAAUUUUGAUCGGGUUGUGUCCCGUGCCUAUAAAUACGUGAACAGUACCCCUGUACUGUUCACAAUGGCUUGUAUUCGCUCGUGCGUCACGCUUGGAUUUUUGCCUUCUGUCAAGCCGAAGGUAUAAAUGUAAUUCAAUAUUGUUCUUAUUCAUCCAUGAUAAGAUAAAAAAAGAUAUAUUAAUGAUGUCAUAUGAUUAUUCAUGUUAUUUCUCAUAUUUCAUAUGCUUCAUCUUUCAUUAAUUUAUACUGUGAUGAUGAAGGUACGUCCUUCAUGACCUUCAUCCGAAGAUCGUUAUAUCCUAAGGGAAAUAAUGCUUCGAAGGACGAAGGACAUUAACCAUUAACCUCCUUUUGUGUUUCCUUGUUCUUAACUCAUAGCAUUUGAGAACAAGUCCCCAACAUUGGCACCCACCUCCGGUGAACUCACUUCCACUUUUGAGCUGAUGGCUUCAUUCAACAACCAAGUCAACUUCUCCCAGGAGGACCUUCAGCUCAAAGAUUACCCUCACAAUGAUGAUAUGGUCAUAUCUUAUGUCAUCAAGGGAUUUCUGGUCCAUAAUGUUCUGGUUGAUACAGGCAGUGCAGCGGAUAUCAUAUUUGCUAAGGCCUUCAGACAGAUGCAAGAGCCAGAAGACAAGAUUCAUGAUGCUACACACCCUAUUUGUGGCCUCGGAGGAAGGCAGAUUGUAGCACUCGGCAAAAUCACAAUGCCAGUGACCUUCGGCUUCGUCCACAACACAAGGACUGAACAGGUUGUCUUUGACAUUAUUGACAUGGAGUACCCCUAUAAUGCAAUCAUUGGUCGAGGCACACUUAAUGCCUUAGAAGCAAUACUUCAUCUAGCAUAUUUAUGCAUGAAGAUACCUUUGGAACAAGGGCCCAUUGUUGUCCAUGAGAGUCAAGAAGCUGCCAGAAGGGCUGAAGGAAACUGGACAGAUUCAAAGGCAAUUCAUAAUAUAGAUGGAGCUGAAGCCUGUCAGAAGUAUAAAUACAAAAGGGAGAAGGCUGCUUCGGUGGAUCAGCUGAAGCCAAUGCUCCUAUGUGAAGACAUAGCAGAACAAAGGGUACUGUUGGGGUCUCAGCUGUCUGAAGAGCAAGAGAAGACUUUGCUAAGAUUUUUAUUCAACAACAAAGAUGUAUUUGCUUGGUUAGCCAAUGAUCUCUGUGGUGUCAAAAGAGAUGUCAUUGAACAUUCAGUCAAUGUGGAUCCAUCUUUCAGGCCAAGAAAACAAAGGCUUCGAAAGAUAUCUGAAGACAAAGCUGAAGGUGCUCGGAACGAAGUGAAGAGACUUCUUAGUGCUGGUGUCAUCAGAGAAGUGAAAUACCCAGAAUGGCUAGCCAAGACUAUUAUGGUGAAGAAGGCCAAUGGUAAAUGGAGAAUGUGCAUUGAUUUCACAGAUCUCAACAAGGCUUGUCCAAAGGACGAGUUCGCAUUGCCAAGAAUAGACUCUCUAGUAGAUGCAGCAGCUUCUUUAGAGCUCAUGAGUCUGUUGGAUUGUUACUCAGGCUACCAUCAAAUUUGGAUGAAGAAGGAAGACGAGCCGAAGACUAGCUUCAUAACCCCUAGUGGUACCUAUUGCUAUCUUUGGAUGCCUAGGGGGCUUAAAAAUGCUGGAGGAAGCUUCAGCAGAAUGACAGCCAAGGUCCUUCAUUCUCAAAUAGACAGGAAUGUACUGACCUAUGUUGAUGAUAUCAUAGUGAAAAGCACGAAUCAAGAAAAUCACAUCGCUGAUUUGCAAGAGACAUUUGCCAAUUUCAGGCAAGCUGGCCUGAAGUUAAAUCUAGAAAAGUGUGUUUUUGGGGUGAAGAAGGGCAAGUUCCUUGGCUGUUUAGUAUCAACGAAAGGAAUUGAAGCUAACCUGAGCAAGAUCGAAGCUAUCCUACGGAUGGAGCCACCAAGCACAAAGAAGGGGGCCCAACGGCUGGUUGGAAGACUAGCAUCAUUGAACAGAUUCAUAUCCAGAUCAGCAGAAAGAAAUCUACCAUUCUUUGAAAUACUGAAGUCAGCCGAAGUUUUUCAAUGGGGUCUGGCUCAACAAAAAGCUUUCGAAGAGUUGAAACAAUACUUGAUUGAUCUAACGACAUUAACUCCACCUUCGCCAAGGGCUCCAUUAGUCUUAUAUGUGGCAGCUUCGCACUCUGCAGUUAGUGCGGCUCUUGUACAGGAGAAGCUAGAUGGCCAAAUCAAAAAGCAGGCUCCAGUGUACUUCGUCUCCGAAGUUUUAAGUUUAUCAAAGAAAAAUUAUACAUAAUUGGAGAAAGUGUUAUAUGCUGUGUUAAUGGCUUCCAGGAAGCUUCAGCAUUAAUUUAGAAAGCACCACUAGGCCCUAAAAGUUUAGAAAAUCCCCAUAAAAUGACCAGUAGGUAUCAUUGGCUAAAAUUUGGUACAAAGUCUUAUUAUUAUUCCUAGAUACCAGCAAAAAUAAACCAUAGAGAAAAAUCCACUGUUAGAAGAGAGUUGUAGUUCAAAGCACCCCCUCUACCCUAAAUUUUAAUAUUUUUGUACAUAGAAAACCAUUAUCAUUUUAAGCCUAAAUUUUUGAGAUUGAGUUAUGCAAACCAGUGAGAAGCCACUGUAAUUUUUUUGUCACACCUGGGUUUUAGGGGUCCAAAACUAUGGCGCAAAAUAAACACCAGGUGUGCUGGGACAAAGUCUCACACAUAUGAUGAAUAGUGGUACAGAAACGAAUGUCACAUCUUUACUAUAUAAUAAGAGUUCUGUACAAAAUAAAUAAAUAAUUACAUCAUUAGGAGACAACGAUCUAGCAACCCAAAGUUGACUGGGAGACGACGACUUAGACCUCUCACGAACUCGCCACAUCAUCCUCCAUGCGCCUCAUCCUGGGGUUCCUUUUCUUGACCAGUGAGAGGGGUGUGAGACAGCAAGAGUGAGCUCACAAACUGUAACACCUCAAAUCCAUCAAUUAAAAUAAUACAUUAUUAGCUGCUAAACUAAGUAGAGAGUAAAUUAAAAAAAAUAUCAAGUGUUUGAAUGCAUUCAUUAUCGAUGCAUGAUUUCUUUGUUUGUUAAUGAAUUACAACACCUUUCUUUUAAUUUAUCCUCUUUGUGAAGCUCCAUUUACUUAAAUUGUCUAAAAGCUUAUUUAUAAUAUAUAUUAUUUAGUAAAAUAAUGUUAUUAGAUUUAUUAUACUUUUUGGAAUAUUUAAAAUAUAGUUAUUUAUGAAUAAUCUAAUGUUUUUUUAAAAAAAAGAGAAUGAAUUUUCGAAAUUAAAAAAAAGAGAAAAAAAAAACAAAAACAACAUGCGUGAUCACCAUCCCUAGCCGAUCGGUCCAGUUACCACCGUCACAUACACAUUCGACAUUCCCCUCCCUCCCCUCCUUUCUACCUAUGACUAGUGGGCCCCACCAUUCCAAUUCUCAAGCUUUGAAAACCAGCCAUCUCACUUACGUACGUGACCUCCUCUCUCUAUUCCUUACGUGUGGACCCCACCCAAAUCCAUGUUUCUCACCUUUCCUCUGUUCUUCUCUCGCUCGCAGGAUUUGGACCAGCGCGCCGCCACCAGUUCAACACAGUGUUCGUGCUUGCACCUGCUGUCCCGGCUCCUGCUGUCCCCCUGCCGUAUUGUAUUCAGUGGAGCACGUGCCUGACUCCUCCUAUGCCGCAAACCGCCUGUCACCACCCGUUGCCGCAGCGCACACUACGACGUGAGAGGAGAGCGGGUUUUCUUGUGCGAGGGGAAGAACUCUUUCCAGGUCUUCACGAUUUCUUUCAUAUAUUUCCUGUCUCUUACAGCCACAGUAGCCGGCUAGAUAUAUGCUUGGCUCACACACACUGACAUAGAGGUCCCACACUUAUUACAACACGAGUUUAUAAGUCUAUGUGUGUAUACGGCUCCCCAACUCUCUCCUGGACACCUCUAGGCGUGACAUCACCCCGCACCGGGAGAAGUUGCUUGUCCCCAAGCAACCGCAUCGGGAAACUGCUUGGUGACAACAUAGUAGUCCUCCCAUGUUGCUGCAUCCUCUGGAAGCGAAGUCCACUUGAUCAAUACUUGUGGGACAGCGGUGUUGCCUUUGCGCACAAGCCGACGUUGAAGAAUUGCUUCGGGCACCACCGGUUCUUGAUCCAAGUCGGCGAGGGUAGGCAGAUCCUUGUAGACAGGAGUGAAGUCCGGAGUGAAUGGCUUAAGCUGUGAGACAUGAAACACCGGGUGAAUAGAAGAUGAUGCUGGUAGCUCAAGCUUGUACGCUGCUGCACCAAUCCGGGCCAGCACCGUAUAAGGACCAUAAAAUCGAAACGCCAAUUUGGGACAUGGACGAUCCACCAGUGAAGUUUGCAUGUACGGCUGAAGCUUUAAUAGCACUUGCUCACCCACUGCAAACUGACGGUCUGAAUGUUUGCGAUCAGCCUGCAACUUCAUGCGGUUAUGUGCGACGGCCAACAUCUGCUUGAGCAAAGUGGUGUGGGCUUGCUGCUCCUGAAUCCACUGAUCAACGGAAGGAUGAGAUGGGCAUGCAGUGGUUGGUAGAGCAGUGAGUGGUGGAUCAUAACCAUACAAUGCUUUGAAUGGGGAACAGCCGAGGCCCGAGUGAAGAGAAGAAUUGUACCAAAACUGCGCGAGAGGCAGCCACUUACGCCACUGUUUAGGGGAAUGAUGCACUGAACAGCGAAGAUACAUCUCCAAACAUUGGUUGACACGUUCACUCUGCCCAUCCGUUUGCGGAUGAUAACUGGUGCUCAGACACAGUUUGGUAUCCCAUAAGCGAAACAAUUCCUUCCAAAAGAGUGAGGUAAAAAUCUUGUCACGGUCCGAGACAAUUGACUUGGGCAAUCCAUGGUGAACAACCACAUUAUCCAAAAUAGCUCGAGCAACAUGUGGGGCUGUGAAGGGAUGUUUGAGGGGAAUGAAAUGAGAGUACUUGGU